GUAUGAAUGGCCACACGAGGGCUUUACUGUCUCUUACUUCCAAUCCGUGAAAUUGACCUUCCCGUGAAGAGGCGGGAAUAUGACAUUGAUCCGAGCAGACCCUAUGGAGCUUUAAUUAACCGACCCAAAGAGAUCUUGAUAAUCAACCGACAGGGAUAACAUACCUCUACCAUGGGCCGACAAUUUAGGUUGGGGUGACCUCGGAGAAUAAAACAACCUCCGAGUGAUUUAAAUCUAGACUAACUAGUCGAAAGUACUACAUCACUUAUUGAUCCAAAAACUUGAUCAACGGAACAAGUUACCCUAGGGAUAACAGCGCAAUCCUAUUUUAGAGUCCAUAUCGACAAUAGGGUUUACGACCUCGAUGUUGGA
rnacentral:rRNA from 1 species